rnacentral:tRNA from 1 species
GCGGGUGUAGCUCAGUUGGUUUAGAGCGCUAGAUUGUGGCUCUAGAGGUCGUCGGUUCAACCCCGAUCACUCGCCCCA